rnacentral:rRNA from 1 species
CAGCCGCCGCGGUAAUACCGGCGGCCCGAGUGGCGGCCACUCUUAUUGGGCUUAAAGCGUCCGUAGCCGGGUUGGUUAGUCUCCCGGGAAAUCUGGCCGCUUAACGGUCAGAAUUCCGGGAGAUACUGCCAGCCUAGGGACCGGGAGAGGCCGAGGGUAUUCCCGGAGUAGGGGUGAAAUCCUAUAAUCCCGGGAGGACCACCUGUGGCGAAGGCGCUCGGCUGGAACGGGUCCGACGGUGAGGGACGAAGGCCAGGGGAGCAAACCGGAUUAGAUACCCGGGUAGUCCUGGCUGUAAACGAUGCGGACUUUGUGUCGGACAAGCUAUGAGCUUGUCCGGUGCCGGAGGGAAACCGUUAAGCCCGCCGCCUGGGGAGUACGGCCGCAAGGCUGAAACUUAAAGGAAUUGGCGGG